rnacentral:sRNA from 1 species
GGAAUAAUAUGUUAAUUUCUCGCGUUUAUAGCAGUAGUGGUAUAAUAUCUGCAUUGCAAACACAAUAGGGAAUACAAUUAAAAUAUUGCGUAUUUUUGAAAAUUAGAAAAUUAACAUUUUUAUGGAAUAAAACUCUACAAAUAGAGUAAAAAUACUAUAUAGAAAAGUUAAAUACUCAAAAUUUUGGCCUAAUAUUAUACUUUGGGUACAAAGAUAUUAAAAUUAAAUACAAUAAUUGCAAAUAAAAAAUUAAUAAAAAAUUAAUUAACGAAGUAAUUGGAUAUUUUAAAAUUUAAUAAAUUAAAAGUUACAUUAUUUAAAUUUUGAAUUUUUUGAGUUUUUGAAAAAAAACCUUAUAAUUUGGAAACGUCAGGGGCUUUGUAAAAUUAUUAGCAGGUAAUUAAUUAAAUAUUAAAUAUUUUAAAAUUAUUAAUUUUUUAUAAUAAAUUCCCGUACGUAAUAAAUUUUUGACAAUAUAUAUUUAAUACGUUAAUAAUAUAUAAAAUUAUACAUAUUACUUAUAAAACUUAUAUUAUUUUAAAAUAACGCAAUAAGGUUGUUUACAAAUAAUUUUAUUUUUAUAUGUAAACUUUUAAACUGUUAUAUUUUACUUAGGGUUUCUUUUAAAAUAUCGGUUUUGGUCUUCGAAGUUUUCAAAAAUAUAAUAUUAACUUUGUUAAUUAUAUGUAUUAUUUUGCAUAUAAUAAGCCCACUUUUAUUUAUAUAUAACCUAUUUUAUAUAAUUCCGAAAUGGGGUGGUUGGAAUUCCUUUAAUUUAUUAAAUGCAGGAAUUGCAAUUUAAAAAUUAAUAAAUGGGAUUAAUUACCCUGUACCGGGUUUGUAAAUUUACGAUUACGUGCGAACCCAAAAAUAAUUUGUUAGCAAAUAAGGGUGUUUUUUAAUAAACCCAUACAAAUUAAUUUUUCGGAAAUUUAUUUGCGGUACCGGAAACCUUUUUGGCGUGCCGAACCCCAUUUUAAUAUCGGAAAAUAUAUAAGAGAAUAAAGCAAAAUCCUCCCACCAAUAUAUUAUUGUCCAAUUAUGUAUAACGUUCCACAUUUUAAUGCAUUUAGCGCUUUUAACACUGGUUAUUUACCACACCGCACAUAGGAUUACCACUUAUACCCCCUGUUAACACUUGUAUUAUUACCAAACCUUUUUGUAUUUUAACGUUAUAAAACCCCCAAAUAGGGUAUAUAAAUAUUUUUAAAUGGACUUUAAAUUACUUUUAAGCCCGGUAAAAUUGCUGCUAUUAAAACCGAGUAAGUUUUAGUUUUUAUAACUCCCAAUUAGCAAAUUAAAUAUUAAUUCGGUUUUAAUUAUAUUAUUUUCGUAACAAAUUAUUAAAAAUUUAAUAUUUGUUAAAUAAAUUGUAAUAUGUUCUGUUAAAAAAACGAAAUAAUUAUUAGACCUUAUAAUUAGUAUUUAAACGGGCUAAUAGUGUUAAAAAUGUUAAAAUACCGGUUAUACGCUACGAUAAUUUAAUUUCCGACGCAUAUAUAAAUUUACCUCUAUUAUAUUUUAAUAUACCCGAAUGUAAAAAAAUAAAACUUAUAUUGCUAUUAAUUAAUUCAAAUGUUGCUAAUAUUUCCUUAAUCUAUUAAUUUUAAUCCAGUUAAAAUAAGCGGUUAAAUUUAUCCAUAUAAUAAUUUUGUUUAUUAUUUUUUAGGUUGGAUUUUUCAACCGUAUAGUACCUUCUCCAACUAUAUAAUUUAAAUUUGUUUCGAAUUAUAACUUAUUUGCCUUAUAAUUUCAAUUAUAAUAACAGUUAGAAACCCUAACCCAUUUGCUAAAACCCUUUGGAAUUUGCGAAUAAAUAUUUAUAUUGGUAAAGUUACUAUUUAAAACCGCACCAAUAAAGUCGAUUUACUUUUAUUAAUUAUAUAUAUUAUUAUUUUUCGCAUAUAAUAAAUCCAAUUUUAUUAAUAUAUAAUUUAUAAUAUAUAACGGCAAAAUGGGGUUAUUAACUUAUCCGUUAAUUUUAUAAUUACAAAUAUUGCAAUUAAAAAAUUAGCGAAUGGGGUUAAUUAUUUUAUACCGGGUUUAAUACCCACUUUGCACUUGCAAACUAACUACCGUAUAUUUAAUUAAAACAAUUAUUUUUACGUGCAAAUCCAAAAAUAAUUUAUUAAUAAAUAAAGGCAUUUUUUCAAAAACUUGUACAAAUUAACUUUUCGGAAACUUUUCUACGGUUCCAAACCCAUUUUUGGCGUACCAAUUCCCAUUUUAAUAUCGGAAAAAUAUUAAAAAGAAAAAAAAUAGUUGCCCAAGUAAACUAAUAAUGGUUACAUAUUUAAAUUAUAGGGUAUUUAUAAUAGCAAUAUAAUAAAAUAGGAGUUUGGGUUUUAUAAUUAUUAUUAUAUAUAAAAAUACAAUUGAAAACAAAUAAAAAUAAAAAACGAACGCCAUCGCGUUUGUUAGUAAAAGAAACCGUUGCGCGUGGUUUAAUAUACGGAUUUUACCCUGUUAAAUUUAACCCUGCAAACGCCUAUUUUGUAAAAUAAUAAUUGUUAAAUUUGCCGAUUAAUAAUAUUACCCCUUUUCCCCGCCGUAUAUAAAAAUAUAUAAAUUAUGCGGAUUUAAAUCCGAAUAUUUUCCAAAUGAAAAAAAUAUAUUUUCGGAUAUUAUUUACUAUUACGCCAAAACGUUUCAGUUUUUUAACUUCGCGGAUUUAUAUUUUUACGUUUGUUUAAAAAUCCCCCGUACAGGAAAUUUUAUAAGCCGGGGCAAAUUUCAAACAAAAAUUCGAUUAUUUCCGAAUUUUAUUUAAAUUAAUUUUUUUUCGCAAUUUUCGUUUUGUUAUUCGGUUAAUUACCGGUAAAUUAUUAUUUAUUUACUAUAUUCAAAAUACUUUUUUAAUACCAUUUAUUUUUAUUUAGCGAAUUUUAAUGGAAAACUUAUUUUAUCCGGAUUGUUUUUAUAAUAUUACUGGAAUAUUAUUCGAAAUUUUUUAGAAGCUUUCGUUUUAUAUUAUUUCAAGUCCUAUUCCUAUUUCUCUACUAUAUUUAAUACAAUACCUCACUAUAAUCUAAUUUGAAAAUUAUAACUUUUUAUAUUUCCCCUUUUUUAAUUAAUAAUCCCGGUUUCCGGACUUAAUUAUUAUUGUUUCCGGAAUGGAUCUCGUAAUAAUUGUCGAAAAUAAUUAACGUUGGAAAUUUUGUAAUUUUGUCCAAAAUUUGGGUAUGUUAAAAGAAAAUAUAAAUAUCCAAUUUCCAGGAUUUUAUUAACGGUUUUAAUUAAUGGAAAAUCUAAUAUAUUAUUUAAUUAAUUUAUUAAUUAACUUUUUUAACAAUAUAAAUAAAAUUACUAAUUCCAAAAUUAGGCGGCCAUUAAGUUUUAUUUUAUUAUUAAUAUAUAUAUUUAGGAUAAAAUUAAUAUGUCACGUAUUUGCCCGACGAUAUAAUAGAUACAACAAAUGGAUUAAAAGAUCCUGCAGUACCUGCACUUACCAAAUACCUUGUCGGUCCCAAUUAUAAGGCCUUGUUAAACGAAUAUAAUAUAAUAUUUAUUUGUUACGCCAUUUCAAUAUAUUAUUGUUAAGUUCAAAUAAUUUUUGAGACGGGUUUUAAUAAUAUUUUUCAACAUGGAUAUUUUCUUAUUAACCUAGUAAUUUUCCAAUUAAAAUAUAAAUUAAUAUUAGGUAUUUUAAAUUGAUUCCGGACGGGGGGAAUUUUAAAAAAUAAGAUAUUGGUGAAGUAAUAUUAUUUAUAUUAUAUUUAAUACCGGUAUUAUUGCGUUUUAAUCAUUUUAAUUAUAAUUUAUAUAUACCUUUAAUUUUUGGUUAAUAUAUUUGUUUAUUAUUUCGAUUUGUAUAAUAAUUUAGAAAUAAUUUGCGGUGAAAUAUUUUUAUUAUAUUUCCAGGUAUUUCGAGACAAUUGCGGUGUUUUAUCAAAUAUAAUUUAUAUUAUAUUUAAAUAUUUAAUCAAAUCCGCUAUAAUGCAUUUCUGCGGCGUUUUAAGCGGUAAUAGUGCUUAAAUAAAAUACCCUUCUGGUUUUUUUAUUAAAAGUAUAUUAUUAAUAAUAUAAUAUUAGAAUUUAAUUAGAAUUUGGAUAUAUUAUUAAAACUUAUUAUAAUUAUAUAUUAUUAUAUUUGUUGGAGUUGGUUACAAUUAUAAUAAUUCUGGUAUUUUAUUUAUUAAUAAUUUUAAAAAGCAAUAAUUGCAAUUAAUUAUAUGACGGUCGACGUUAGAAAUUUGUUUUGGUUAUUUAAAUCGCGAAUAUAUUUAUUUUUCGUUGUAUUUUUUCCCAAAAAAUAUAUAAAUAUCCGUCCGUAUAUUUCGCGAGUAACUUCAAUUAUUAAUUUUAGGGAAUUACCAAACGGUUUUAAAAUAAAGUAUAUUGAUUAUAUAAUAAACGGAAACUCCCAUCUUUUUUUAGAAAUUUGGGUACGGUAAAUAACCUAUUUUAAAUUUCCGGUAUUAAUAAAUAAUACUCGGUUAAUAAAAGAAUACCUUUUCCAAAAACCCGUUUUCGGUUGGCAAAUUUGGGGGCUUUUAAUAGUAAUAUAAUAGCGUAUAUAUAGUUAAUUUUGUAAGAAUUACGCUCCGCGUCGUUUAAUAAUUUAAAAAUAAUUAUAUACCGUUUUAUUUCCAAUAUAGUUUUUUAAUUGGCUAAAGUUUCCAAUUUGUUCAUUAGGGCGUUGGUCUUUCUGGUUGUUCUAACAAUAUAUUACCUCGAAAUUAUGUUUGGUAAAGGAAUUAAUUUAAACGGGUUAUUAAACGUUUAAAUAGUAUUUAAACUUUAAUUUUCGACGAAACCGUAGACCACUAUCGCGAUUGGAAAACUAAACCCAAAAGUAUUUAAAUAAUAAAUACUUUAGUUUUACAAUUUGGUUUUACGUGCUUUUACGUAAGUAAAAAGGCUAUAAGACUAAAUAUAUAAGUUUAUAUAAUCUAUGGGUUUUUAUAACGUGAAGUAUAUAUUAUUUAAAUCUAAAACUAGUAUAUAAAAUAGGAAAAGUACUUGUUAAUAUAAUCUUUGAAGCCCUGGUUACAAAUCCAAUUGAAAUAUAUAUAUUAAAUGAGAAAACUUGUGCAAAACCUAGUUUGUAAAAAUUAUUAUACUUUUCAUUUUAUAUUAUAAAUUUUUAAUAGAAUUUAACCUGGUAAAGUUAUUUACAAAAAUCUAAUUUGCUAUAAACAAUAAUUAAAAUUUAAAUUGCUUAUCAAAUAAUUAAUUCUGUUAAUUUUAAUAAAAUAAAUAUAUAAUAAUAUUUAAAAUAUAGUAAAUAUGUUAAAAUAUAUAACAUUGCAAUUUUUAAUAUUUAAUAUUAUAUAAAAUUCAAGUAAAAAUAAAAUGUUUUAAUAUUUAUUUUUAAUUUAGUUUCAAAUUCAAAACUGCGAUCUUGUAAACUUAUAUAUAAUAGAUAAAUUGCUUUUACGAAUUUUUAUAUAAUUAUUUUGUUUAAACUAAUAAGAUUAAUUAUUUAAUAAAAUAUUCAAACUUUUAUUUUUAUAUAGUAAAUUAGGUUUUUAUAACCAAUUUUGCCAAUUUAGGCUCAUUUAAAUAUAAAAAACAAAAUAACUUUUAUAAAGUAAACUUUAAAUAAACUUUCCAAUUUAAUUUAUAUAUUUUAUUUCAAACUAUUACCAGGGGGUAAAGGUUUGUAUUUAUAAAUUAUUCUUAACUUCGUAUUCUAAUUAUAUCGUAACUUUAUUAUCGAAAAGAAUAUUUUAAAUUUACAAAUAAUAUUCGAAGUUUACAAUUCCGAAAUGUAUUUUAUAUAUCCUAAUUUUAUUAAAAGUUAACUAAAAAAUGCAUUUUAUUCUCGUUAGGGCACAUUUGGGUUUAGUUUUUAAUAAUAAUAAUAAUAGCCCACGGUUUUGUCGAAAAUUAAAGUUUUGUAACCCCCUUUUUAAGGGGGCCUAUAACGAACAACCUCCAAAUAUAACGUUCCGAGGAAAAUUAAAUUAUUAGUUUAAUUUUUAUAUUAAUUUACGGCGUUAAGAUCUAAAUAAUAUUUACCGCAGUUAUUUUCUAAUAUAUUUAUAAUAAUUGUUUUUUCCGAAGGUUUUUAUUAAUUACAAAAUGGUUUUUUUACCACUUUGUUAUUAUUAAACAUAAUUACAUAUCGCGCGUAUUUUUAAUUUCUUUUCAAACUAAUAUCCGUUUGCAUAUAAAGUUUAUUAUAAACAUUAUUUUCUAUUUAUUUUAUUCAAACGAGUAUAUUUACUUAACUGGGUCUAUAUAAUCGAACAAACUUCCGUACAAUAGCAGUUUAAUUUUAGGGAAGUAAAAGAAUGUUAUACGCGUUAUAACAUUAUAUUUAAAAGAAAAACGCGUUAUAUCAUAUAAAUAGGUGUUAUAUUUUUAAUAAAACGCGGAAAUAAAACUGUUCCCAACAAUUUAGCAGGUUUCAACUCAAAUUAAAUUUAAUAUAGUUAAAUAUUUUAUGAAGAAUUAGAAUAUACGCCGUUAAAAUUAAUUGCGGUAAUCUAAUACGGGAUAUAUCCCCGAUCCGGCGCGCAAAUGCCGGAUCCGACCGUUCGGACCACCGCCGAAAAUAAAAUAAAUUAAAAAUGAAAUAAAAGUAAAAUAAUAAAGUAAAUAUGGGAUUAAAAACGUAAAAGAAUAUAAUUUUAAAAAUUUGCGGCCGUUUGGUAAUAUUUUUUAAUUGUUUGGGAUAUAAUUUUCGUUUGGGAAAUUUCUUUUUUUAUAUUUCGGGCGAUUUGGUAUUAUUGCAACGCAAUUUUAUUUAUUGCACCGUCGUUUUAACGUUUGUAAUGCGCAAAUUGAUAUUUUAAUUAAAUUUAUUCUAAUUUAAUAUUUUCAAACUGUUUUGGUUUAUAAGUAUAAUGUCGCAAAUUAUUUUGGACUUUUUCGCCGCAAAUACCUUAUAUUAUAAUUAGUUCGGUUUUAAAUAAUAUUUUUUAAAAAGAUCCGGGCGGAUAUUUCGGAUUUUCCGCGUUUAUACCCGAAUUGCUGGCCAAAUUUAAAAUUUUUCACCUAAAGACAAAUCGCCUGAAAAUUGGGAUUUUUAAACAAAUAUAAAAAAACUAAAUUAAUAUUUUAAUUUUAAAUGAAAUUUAUAUCAAUUUUUUUAACAAGAAAUUUGCGGGUUUUUUUGGAAAUAAAUAUUUUUCAAUAAAAUAAAUGGAAAAAUCGGGAAAAUCGCGGUGUUGCCAAAUGUAAACAAAUUCGGGCCAAAUUAGUCGCCGACAUUUUUGCGGCGCAAUUUGUAAAAUUAAAGUUUAUUCCCAAAUAAAUCGGCGCGACAUUAACCAAAUCCGUUAAUAAUUUAGUAACGCGGGUUUUAAUACGGCGAAACGCGCCGGUAAACGCGUUCCGAAAAUAAUUGCUAAUUAUACAUAUUAUCCGUAAUAAAUAACAAAAUUUAUAACAAUCCGGUAUAUUAUAAUUAUAAAGGAAAUUUGGCCGAAUAUAGAAGAAUUUAAAUGUUGGAAUUAUUAUUAUAAAUACCGCAAAUUUAAAUUAAUAUAAACGGAGCAAAUUAUCUUUUUAACCGCAAUUCUAUAUUAACCAACUAAUUCUUUAAAUUUAGGUUUUAUAAUUGCCGCGGUAAUUAACGCCCAAAAAAAAAUAAAAUAUAUUACCAAUUUUUUAUUAUUAAUCGCGUCCGUUUCGUAAUUAAUAUUCCGCAAACCAAAGAAAGUUUUCGGGAUGGAAUAAUUAAUAUCGCGGCCGCAAAAGUCGAUAUUGUUUCGAUUAAUUAAACAAAGCUUUUUGCAAUUUAUAUUACCGGGAAAAAUUUGAAACGCGUAUUUUAAAUAAUUUUGCGGAGAAAAUGUAUUUUUUGCGAUUUAAUAAUUAUAAUAUUUAAAAUU